GCAGGAUUAGCUCAGCUGGGAGAGCACCUGACUGACAAGCAGGAGGUCACAGGUUCGAGCCCUGUAUCCUCCA
rnacentral:tRNA from 1 species